GGGAGUGGACACAACCAAGGGUCACAGUUGAGAGAGUUAAAGAAAAACUAUCCUGACAUGUGUUAAAAUGUAAGACCUAAUUCAAGAUUAUGAUUGGGACCAUGGUUCUUUCAAUAGGAGAGACUUAUUGUGCUUAAACUGAACACAGCAAAGAAAACAGAGAGGAUCAGUGGGAUUACUAAGAGAAGACAUCGAGGUAGGGGGAUUCUUGCUAAAGGCAGGCCAAGGCCUUAUACAUCAAAGGUGGGGAUGAGGAACUUGAUCGGAUAUCAAGGUGGGAGGGAUGACUUUGCAGGAUCUUUGCUCAGCCUGGCUUAGCCAGGGCUCGAGAACCAGCCUAGUCAAAAAGAGGGUGCAGAAUCUCAAGUGCGGUCCCAGAGAAAGCCUUUGUCAGGAGCUGUGGAGUUAGGGGCCAUCAUCUCCUCUUGCUCCCUCAGGGUCCUUCUGUCCUCUCAACACUUAAACUGAAUUCCUACACCCACCCUGUCCACCACAAAGCGUGGGCUCAGUGUCACUGAGAUCGAUGUCAGCUUUGAUGUUAGCAACAAGAACAACUGAGACCCAAAUCUAAGAGAUGUGAAGUGGAAGAAUCAAGGACCCAGAAUUCUAGGCAAGCUGAAACUUAGUUCUUACCUUUUUCUCCCAGGGAAAAUCAUCCACAUGAAGAAAACCUAAAUCCCCAAUAGAAGUCAAUAUCUAAAGAGAAACUGUGUGCAACCUGAGACCGAGGCUCGACAGGGGGGCAACCAGGAAAAAGGAAUGUCGUUGGCUUGGGUCCCCACCAGUUUGUGUGUUUGUUUUUUUUGAGACAGAGUCUCACUCUGUCGACCAGGCUGGAGUACAGUGGUGCGAUCAUAGCUCACUGCAGUCUCAAACUAUUCGGCUCAAGUGAUCCUCCCACCUUAGCCUCCCAAGUAGCUGGGACUACAGAUGUUUGCCACCAUGACAGGCUUUUUGUUUUGUUUUGUUUUGUUUUGUUUUUGUAGAGACGGAGUCUCACUGUGUUGCUCAGGCUGAUCUCAAACUCCUGAUCCCAAGGGAUCCUCCCACCUUAGUCUCCCAAAGUGCUGGGAUCACGGGCCUGAGUCACCAUGCCCUGCCCCACCAGUCUUCAUAAAACAGCACAACACACCAGGAAAGGAAAAACCAAAGGCAACGAUGGAACCAGGUAUAGCACCUGGGACAAGGCCUGGCACAGUGCAGUUGCUUAAUGAGUAUUUACUGAAUAAAUGAACUUGAAAGUCCAUUGCUAGCCCUAAAAUGCUACACUCUUAAGAUGAAGGGGCUGACACAUGCUACACCAUGGAUGAAUCUUGAAAACAUUAUGCUAAAUAAAAAAAAAAAAAAAAA
ensembl:lncRNA